rnacentral:rRNA from 1 species
GACGAACGCUGGCGGCGUGCUUAACACAUGCAAGUCGAACGGAAAGGCCCUGCUUUUGUGGGGUGCUCGAGUGGCGAACGGGUGAGUAACACGUGAGUAACCUGCCCUUGACUUUGGGAUAACUUCAGGAAACUGGGGCUAAUACCGGAUAGGAGCUCCUGCUGCAUGGUGGGGGUUGGAAGGUUUCGGCGGUUGGGGAUGGACUCGCGGCUUAUCAGCUUGGUGGUGGGGUAGUGGCUUACCAAGGCUUUGACGGGUAGCCGGCCUGAGAGGGUGACCGGCCACAUUGGGACUGAGAUACGGCCCAGACUCCUACGGGAGGCAGCAGUGGGGAAUAGUGCACUAUGGGCGGAAGCCUGAUGCAGCAACGCCGCGUGCGGGAUGACGGCCUUCGGGUUGUAAACCGCUUUCGCCUGUGACGAAGCGUGAGUGACGGUAAUGGGUAAAGAAGCACCGGCUAACUACGUG